ensembl:lncRNA
AUGCAAAUGAACAGGAAGACUUUUGAGUUUGAGAGUGGAAACUGUUGCAUCUCAUCCUGUUUAAGACACUUACUACAACAGAUCUUGCAGGUGCUCAACAGGAAAUCUGGUGUCUUAUUUUUAGUCGAGCUGAAAGCCAUGAAACUCAUUCUGCGGUGGAUUUUUUGCUUCAGUUUAGGUACAUACCUACUUUAUGAAGGAUUUCUCAUCUCAAAACAUAGUCAAAAGAUUCCCCUCACAGGUUCUUUUUAAACUUUAUUAUUGAAGGAAUGGUUCCUAACAAAACACCCUUGUGUUGUUCCAAACACAUGACUUUCUUUCAUCCGUAGAACACAAAAGAAGAUAUUUGUAAGAAUUUGCAGCCUGAUUUUAGUGACAGCUUUUAUACCUUUUUUUUUUCUCAGAGCGUAGCCUGUAUAGUGCAAAAAGAAGUCCAUACAGCAAGUCUUUUUAAGUUUUACGAUAGAUUUGAGAUAUAGAUCCACAUAUAAGAAUACUUUUCAUUAUACUGUAUGGCUUUCCAUCAAGCAAUUUUUUAUACUUCUUGCUUGCUUUGU